CCCGUGCUACAACCGCACUGAACAGGUCUAAGUAUUCCUUGUGAAUCACCUGUCAAGGCGAGUCUGAGUAAAUAG
rfam:Sporosarcina sp. P33, complete genome.